rnacentral:tRNA from 1 species
GGGGUUGUAGCUCAGUGGAAGAGCACUUGCCUAGCAUGUAUGAGGCACUGGGUUCAAUCCUCAGCACCA